UACGUAGGGGGCAAGCGUUAUCCGGAUUUACUGGGUGUAAAGGGAGCGUAGACGGACUGGCAAGUCUGAUGUGAAAGGCGGGGGCUCAACCCCUGGACUGCAUUGGAAACUGUUAGUCUUGAGUGCCGGAGAGGUAAGCGGAAUUCCUAGUGUAGCGGUGAAAUGCGUAGAUAUUAGGAGGAACACCAGUGGCGAAGGCGGCUUACUGGACGGUAACUGACGUUGAGGCUCGAAAGCGUGGGGAGCAAACAGGAUUAGAUACCCCUGGUCGGCUGACGACU
rnacentral:rRNA from 1 species